rnacentral:rRNA from 1 species
GAGAACGGACUUAAGCUUGCUUAAGUUGUCAGCUAAGUGGCGCACGGGUGAGUAAUGUAUAGUUAACCUGCCCUCGAGAAAGGAAUAACAGAUGGAAGCGUCUGCUAAUGCCCUAUAUGCCCAUAAUACAUAAGUAUGCUGGGGAAAUGCUUUAGUGCUCGAGGAUGGGACUGUAUGGUAUCAGAUAGUUGGUGAGGUAAUGGCUCACCAAGUCAAUGACGCCUAACUGGUUUGAGAGGAUGAUCAGUCACACUGGAACUGAGACACGGUCCAGACUCCUACGGGAGGCAGCAGUGGGGAAUAUUGCACAAUGGAGGAAACUCUGAUGCAGCAACGCCGCGUGGAGGAUGACACUUUUCGGAGCGUAAACUCCUUUUAUAUAGGAAGAUAAUGACGGUACUAUAUGAAUAAGCACCGGCUAACUCCGUGCCAGCAGCCGCGGUAAUACGGAGGGUGCAAGCGUUACUCGGAAUCACUGGGCGUAAAGAGCGUGUAGGCGGGUUAUUAAGUCAGAAGUGAAAUCCUAUGGCUCAACCAUAGAACUGCUUUUGAAACUGGUAACCUAGAGUAUGGGAGAGGUAGAUGGAAUUUCUGGUGUAGGGGUAAAAUCCGUAGAGAUCAGAAGGAAUACCGAUUGCGAAGGCGAUCUACUGGAACAUUACUGACGCUGAGACGCGAAAGCGUGGGGAGCAAACAGGAUUAGAUACCCUGGUAGUCCACGCCCUAAACGAUGUACACUAGUUGUUGCCAUGCUAGACAUGGCAGUAAUGCAGUUAACACAUUAAGUGUACCGCCUGGGGAGUACGGUCGCAAGAUUAAAACUCAAAGGAAUAGACGGGGACCCGCACAAGCGGUGGAGCAUGUGGUUUAAUUCGACGAUACGCGAAGAACCUUACCUGGACUUGACAUUUACAGAACUUUCAAGAGAUUGAUUGGUGUCUGCUUGCAAAACUGUAGGACAGGUGCUGCACGGCUGUCGUCAGCUCGUGUCGUGAGA